rnacentral:rRNA from 1 species
GACGAACGCUGGCGGCGUGCUUAACACAUGCGAGUCGAACGAUGACGACCGAGCUUGCUCGGUCUGAUUAGUGGCGAACGGGUGAGUAACACGUGAGCAACCUGCCCUUCACUCUGGGAUAACCUCGGGAAAUCGGGGCUAAUACCGGAUAUGAGCUCCUGUCGCAUGGCGGGUGUUGGAAAGUUUUUCGGUGAAGGAUGGGCUCGCGGCCUAUCAGUUUGUUGGUGAGGUAGUGGCUCACCAAGGCGAUGACGGGUAGCCGGCCUGAGAGGGCGACCGGCCACACUGGGACUGAGACACGGCCCAGACUCCUACGGGAGGCAGCAGUGGGGAAUAUUGCACAAUGGGCGAAAGCCUGAUGCAGCGACGCCGCGUGAGGGAUGACGGCCUUCGGGUUGUAAACCUCUUUCAGCAGGGAAGAAGCGAAAGUGACGGUACCUGCAGAAGAAGCGCCUGCUAACUACGUG